rnacentral:rRNA from 1 species
AUUGAACGCUGGCGGCAGGCCUAACACAUGCAAGUCGAGCGAGCGGCGGACGGGUGAGUAAUGUAUGGGGAUCUGCCUGAUGGCGGGGGAUAACUACUGGAAACGGUAGCUAAUACCGCAUACCAUCAGAUGAACCCAUAUGGGAUUAGCUAGUGGGUGGGGUAACGGCUCACCAAGGCGACGAUCCCUAGCUGGUCUGAGAGGAUGACCAGCCACACUGGAACUGGGACACGGCCCAGACUCCUACGGGAGGCAGCAGUGGGGAAUAUUGCACAAUGGGCGCAAGCCUGAUGCAGCCAUGCCGCGUGUAUGAAGAAGGCCUUAGGGUUGUAAAGUACUUUCAGCGGGGAGGCGUUACCCGCAGAAGAAGCACCGGCUAACUCCGUGCCAGCAGCCGCGGUAAUAC